rnacentral:rRNA from 1 species
AGAGUUUGAUCAUGGCUCAGAGUGAACGCUGGCGGCGUGCUUAACACAUGCAAGUCGAACGAUGAUGAAGGGCUUGCUCUUCUGAUUAGUGGCGCACGGGUGAGUAAUAUAUAGUUAAUGUACCCCAAAGACCGGGAUAGCCACUGGAAACGGUGAUUAAUACUGGAUACACCUUUUAAGCUUAAGCUUAAUCGGGAAAUGUCUUUUCGCUUUGGGAUCAGACUAUAUCCUAUCAGCUAGUUGGUGAGGUAAGAGCUCACCAAGGCAAUGACGGGUAGCGGGUUUGAGAGGAUGAUCCGCCACACUGGUACUGAGACACGGACCAGACUCCUACGGGAGGCAGCAGUGAGGAAUAUUGCACAAUGGGGGAAACCCUGAUGCAGCAACGCCGCGUGGAGGAUGACGCAUUUCGGUGUGUAAACUCCUUUUAUUAGGGAAGAUAAUGACGGUACCUAAUGAAUAAGCACCGGCUAACUCCGUGCCAGCAGCCGCGGUAAUACGGAGGGUGCAAGCGUUACUCGGAAUCACUGGGCGUAAAGGACGCGUAGGCGGGUUGCCAAGUCAGGUGUGAAAUCCUACAGCUUAACUGUAGAACUGCACUUGAAACUGGUAAUCUAGAGUAUGGGAGGGGGAGAUGGAAUUAGUGGUGUAGGGGUAAAAUCCGUAGAUAUCACUAGGAAUACCGAAAGCGAAGGCGAUCUCCUGGAACAUAACUGACGCUAAGGCGUGAAAGCGUGGGGAGCAAACAGGAUUAGAUACCCUAGUAGUCC